UGGGGAAUAUUGGACAAUGGGGGCGACCCUGAUCCAGCCAUGCCGCGUGUGUGAAGAAGGCCUUUUGGUUGUAAAGCACUUUAAGCAGGGAGGAGAGGCUAAUGGUUAAUACCCAUUAGAUUAGACGUUACCUGCAGAAUAAGCACCGGCUAACUCUGUGCCAGCAGCCGCGGUAAUACAGAGGGUGCGAGCGUUAAUCGGAAUUACUGGGCGUAAAGCGAGUGUAGGUGGCUCAUUAAGUCACAUGUGAAAUCCCCGGGCUUAACCUGGGAACUGCAUGUGAUACUGGUGGUGCUAGAAUAUGUGAGAGGGAAGUAGAAUUCCCAGGUGUAGCGGUGAAAUGCGUAGAGAUCUGGAGGAAUACCGAUGGCGAAGGCAGCUUCCUGGCAUAAUAUUGACACUGAGAUUCGAAAGCGUGGGUAGCAAAACAGGAUUAGAUACCCUGGUAGUCCACGCCGUAAACGAUGUCUACUAGCCGUUGGGGUCCUUGAGACUUUAGUGGCGCAGUUAACGCGAUAAGU
rnacentral:rRNA from 1 species